GUCUGCCGCUCUCCCCGGUCUCUCGCUGCGGCUGCUGCAAGCAACACCUUUUUGUGCUCUCGUGCGCCUCUGUGUCUGCGUGCGUACUUCAAGAGUACCACGCCGCCACCUGCCACCCCUCCCCUGCCGAGGGCCGCCCUCAAAAUGGCAUCUGCAACACAAGCAGAAGCUGGCCUCUGCAUCGACCAUCGCUCGUCGGACAGAUAUGCACACACUUACUCAUAAACUCGUGUCGCAUUUGGCGAGAAACAGGGCAGGGGAGCUCACAAGGGCUUCUGUGACUGCGGCGUCUGGUGACUGCGUCUGUGCGUCUUGCAGUGGCUUACCCUUGCGAUGAACAGGACUACGUCUUCCUCGUUCUUCACCACCGCCACCAGUGACCUCCGCCACGGCGCCUCUCUUUCGUUUUUUUUUCAUGCUCGCUGUAUGUACAUUCUCCUAUAAUUCGGCCCUGCUCUGAUCCCCAGCUGCCUUCUGUCUCCGUCUCUUCCCUCCCAUCGCACGCACGCACACGUGUGCGCAG
rnacentral:misc_RNA from 1 species